GUUCAGCAAGAAACGAACUGGUCAGUUGUACAGUUCUAUCAGAGACAUUCACACAGCAUGUCCUCUGCACUCGUAAAAUGUGCGCUCUUGUUCGCUCUGUCGAUAUAUUUUGUUCUUGGCGAUGCAGAACCGCCAAAAUUAAAAGAGUGUGAGUUGGCGAACAUGUUCUUCCGGCACGGUUUCAAUCAAUACCAAUCCCGCUUUUCAAUAUGCUACGCAAAAUCGAAACAGUUUCGGCCCAAAGAAGUAAUUCCGUACCGACACCAUCAGGACGGCAAAGCCAUAUUUUUCUACGGAAUGUUUCCCAUCACGACACCAUAUUGCGACGAUAUACCGGGACAGGAUAGUGUGUGUGGGAUAAGGUGUAAACAUACGAUGGACUAUAAUAUAGAAAAUGAAGUGUUGUGCAUGAAGCACAUGUUUGCGUCGAAUAUGAGUGAAGAGGUGUCGGGAUACUAUAAAAGAGAGGAAUCAAAACUGUCGGACUGUAUGCGAACGAUCUUUAACCCAUGUCGUUUCGUUGGACCUGGAGGCCGGGCGAAUAAUGGUGAACCAAUUUUCUUGGGUUAACGUUGUUGCACCGCGAAUAAUUGCGUCGUAAUUUAUGUUGUUUUAUAGUUGGAAUCAUAGAAUUUCCAGUGACACUAUGUUUGUACCUUUGCAUUAUUCUUUAUAUCAUUGAGAAACUGGUCUGAGACGGUCGAAUUGGCAGAUGUGUGGCGACGCUGUUUUGAUACUUCAAUGACGCUCAUAUAUCAAAAGAUGUUCGUAAAUAAUGGCUUUCGUUUCGGAAAUAUUAUGAAAAUUAGACCGAG